CACUGCCCGUCACACUAUGGGAGCUGGCCAUGCCCAAAGUCGCUACCUUAACCGCAAGGAGGGGAUACCGAAGGUAGGACUAGUGACUAGAGUGAAGUCGUAACAAGGUAGCCGUACUGGAAGGUGUGGCUG
rfam:Lupinus angustifolius cultivar Tanjil chromosome LG02, whole genome shotgun sequence.